rnacentral:lncRNA from 1 species
GGGUUCCCGAUUACUUUGGGUCUCAGAUGACUUUGUGGUUCCGAAUUCAGGCCGAAGCUUUGAACUUGUGCUCCGUGAUACACAGCCAACCAGUCGUGUUUGCAUCAUUUGCAUCAUAGCAUGUUUAUUUUCAAAAAAAAUAAAGUAAAAAAAAUGAAAAAAAGAAAAGAAAAAAUCUAAUCUCCUCAUGCAUAUCAUUUCUCAGGUUCAUUCAGGAGUCU